UUAGCAUAGUUUAACAAAAACAUUAGGAUGUGGCCCUAAAAACAGGAGUUUAACCCUCCUUGCAAAC
rnacentral:tRNA from 1 species